rnacentral:rRNA from 1 species
GUGGGGAAUUUUGGACAAUGGGCGCAAGCCUGACCCAGCAAUGCCGCGUGUGUGAAGAAGGCCUUCGGGUUGUAAAGCACUUUUGGCAGGAAAGAAAUAGUGCGUGCUAAUACCAUGCGCGAAUGACGGUACCUGCAGAAUAAGCACCGGCUAACUACGUGCCAGCAGCCGCGGUAAGACGUAGGGUGCAAGCGUUAAUCGGAAUUACUGGGCGUAAAGCGUGCGCAGGCGGUUUUGUAAGACAGGUGUGAAAUCCCCGGGCUCAACCUGGGAACUGCACUUGUGACUGCAAGGCUAGAGUGUGUCAGAGGGAGGUGGAAUUCCGCGUGUAGCAGUGAAAUGCGUAGAGAUGCGGAGGAACACCGAUGGCGAAGGCAGCCUCCUGGGAUAACACUGACGCUCAGGCACGAAAGCGUGGGGAGCAAACAGGAUUAGAUACCCGUGUAGUCC